rnacentral:sRNA from 1 species
AGUGCGAAUUCUAGUAAUCGAAGACAACAGCGACA